rnacentral:misc_RNA from 1 species
AAGAGCGUGCAUUCUAGUUAGGCGUCCACACUUAUCGGUUUGUUUGAUGUUACAGCCAAGGGUCUGUAGCUCAGGUGGUUAGAGCACCGUCUUGAUAAGGCGGGGGUCGUAGGUUCAAGUCCUACCAGACCCACCAAGUUAUGGACGGUGGAAGUCUCUGCCGUGACUGGGGGAUUAGCUCAGCUGGGAGAGCACCUGCUUUGCAAGCAGGGGGUCGUCGGUUCGAUCCCGUCAUCCUCCACCAAUACCUUGUGGUUGCCAAACGCAAGCAUCGAGUUUUCGGUGUUUGCGUUUGGCAUUGCCAAGACGAGUAAUAACUCGGCUGUUCUUUAACAAUAUGGAAUGUAGUAAAGGUGUCGCGGAGCAUUGAUGAGAUGCUCGCAAAAACGCGACAUUGGGUUGUGAUUGUAUCAACCAGUAUUACGAGUGAUCGAAAGACCGCUUGGAAUACGGCACAACGCGAGAACUCAGCCUAUAUCGAGACAUACUCGUUAUAGGGUC